UACAGAGGUCCCCAAGCGUUGUUCGGAUUCAUUGGGCGUAAAGGGUGCGUAGGCGGCGCGGUAAGUCAGAUGUGAAAAUCUCAGGGCUCAACUCUGAAAUUGCAUCCGAUACUGCCGUGCUUGAGGACUGGAGGGGGAGUCUGGAAUUCAUGGUGGAGCAGUGAAAUGCGUAGAUAUCAUGAGGAACGCUAGUGGCGUAGGCGAGACUCUGGACAGUUCCUGACGCUGAGGCACGAAGGCCAGGGGAGCAAACGGG
rnacentral:rRNA from 1 species